rnacentral:lncRNA from 1 species
UGUCACGGGCCAAAGUGCAAAGCCCGUGACCAUGCCGCAAGAAGUGCCCCAUGGAGGUCUAUCGAUUAGAUGGGGGACAUUUAGCCCACAAGAACUGGCCCGAUUCAGUGAAAUACUAAAGAAGCCUAUCAGAUUGAAGCCUGGUUGGCCCAAUGAUGAAGAUAUGGCAGCUUAGGCAAUUUUGGUAACUAAUCUUAGAAGAUAGAAUAGAAUCAUAUCUUAUAAGAUUAGAUUAGAUUUGAUAUGGUAAAUCUUGUAAAUCCCUAAAAUCAAGGGAUAUAGUGAAUCUCGUCCGUCGAUGUACAUGUAUCUUGACCGUCGGUUUUGGGGGAGCUCAACUAUAAAUAGAGAGCCUCCCCCUCAUUUGUAAAUCAUCCAUUGUAACUUGAAUUCUUAAGAGUAAUAGAAUUCUUGAGCAUUUACUCAAACACUUUGUGUGCUUUCUUUCUUUAGCUUUCUGUUGUUCUCUUGUGGCUUCUUUUGGCACAAUCGCUUCCGCUAUAUAAAUUAGUGCCUUGGAGGAGUUCUAAAAGAAUCCUCUCUUUUGGGAGUUAAGGCUGACUUGGGCGAGUUUGGACGAACGGAUCGCCUAAGGCCGCACGGAUUGCGAGACGAAAGGUCUAGCCCCGUGACAAGUGGUAUCCGAGCCAAGUUUUGAACCAAGUUAUUCGAGUGGUUCGAAGGCACUGUUGGGAUGUCGAAAGAAGUCGUUGGUCAGAGUGAGCCAAUGGAGACCCGUGGGAGGGCUAGAAAAGCCAGUCGCUCGAGGGAAAUGCUGACAGCUUUGGAGAAUCGAGUGGUCAAUCUUGAGGAAUCCGUAGGGAACGUGAAAGAGACGCUUGAAUUGGUCGAGGGACGCACAGAUGGGUUAGACUCAAUGGAGGAGCAACUCAGAGAUUUUGUGUUGGAUUCUCUCGGUGCAAGUAGGGAAAAGAUAACGGAAUUACUCGAGUCUACUGAGGAAAAGCUGGCAGAGAGGGAUGAAGCUCUCGAGGAUAUGGUGCUAGCCAUGCAGAAAGAAAUGGAGGAGCUCAAAGGGGAGCUCGCGAUUUACAAAGCCGCUUUGAGUAAUGGGAUGUUGUCUUCAAGGCCGAAGCAACAUGCAAUGGAUGUUCCCAAACCAGAGAAGUUUAAGGGUGCACGAUCCGCGAGGGAUGUGGACAACUUCUUGUGGGAAAUGGAGCAAUACUUCCGAGCGAUGGGCAUCGAGGAUGAUGGCAUUAAGGUAAACACUGCUUCGAUUUACUUUUCUGAUGUUGCUCUCUUGUGGUGGCGACGUAGGUCCACGGAUGAGAAACGUGGAGGAACGGCUAUUGGAACUUGGGAGGAGUUUCAAGGAGAAUUGAAGAAGCAGUUUUACCCUCAAUAUGCCGAGAAGGAGGCUCGGGCUAAAUUGCGUCGUCUCACGCAACAAGACACUGUUCGGGAGUAUGUGCGGGCAUUUAGCGAGUUGAUGCUUCAAAUCUCCGACUUGAGCGAGAAAGAAGCAUUCUAUUGGUUCGAGGAUGGGUUAAAGCCGUGGGCAAAGCAGGAGUUGCGAAGGCAAGGAAUCACCGAACUUACUGUAGCCAUGGCCGAAGCAGAGUCCUUUGUUGAGCUUGAUCCGGCGGGAGACAAGCUUGAGGCAUCUAAGCCCAAUGGAAGGGGCAAUGGUGAGAGAAACCAUGAAGAAGAUGAAAGGGGACAUAGCGAUGGGGGCAACAGUACUGAUAGCACAAGUGGCAAUGGGAAACCACGAGAUGCGAAGCGGGGAUUAGACAACCCAAGGGACAAGAGGAAGAAGAUGAAAUGCUUCCUUUGUCAAGGACCACACAUGGCGCGUAAAUGUCCAAAUAAAGUGAUGAUUUCGGCAAAGAAUGAUGAGCCGAAGGAGGAGGCGAAGCCUACCGAGGGAAACACAUCGAAAGUCAAUUCGAUGGUGCUCAUUCCUGGGAAGAGGAAUGGAAAUGGGUUGAUGUUUGUGGACGUCAACAUUGCGGGUCAGAAGCGGAGUGCUCUUAUUGAUACGGGAGCAUCGGACUUGUUCAUGUCGGAAAAGGCUGCGAAGAAGCUUGGUCUGUCGAUUAGGAAAUCGAAUAAGAAGAUCAAGGUAGCAACUUCUGAGAAAGCCCCAACUGUGGGAGUAGUUCGUGAUGUGGAACUACAAAUCGGCGAAUGGAAGAGCAAGGAAGAAUUCGAGGUAAUCCAAUUAAGUGAUUACGAUUUUGUGCUUGGCUUAAACUUCCUUGUUAGGAUUCAGGCAUCUUUGCAACUAGGGGCCGAUCAAAUCCAUAUUGCCACCGGUCCAUCAACAAAGAGUAUUGUGCCGGUGCAUCGGGAUGUGAAAGUUGGGACUAAGGUGUUAUCGUCAAUCCAACUAGUCGAAGAUGUUUCGUAUGGGAGAGACAUUAAAUCGACGAAACGGAAUGCUACGAAAGCCCCUUCGGAAGUGUUAGUGGCGCAAGGGACCGAUAUGAAGCCUGCGGGACCGACUGUGGAGCCAACACCUUUGGGAAAGGUGGGUGGUGCAUCGGGCUCCAAGGGAAAAGGAGCAAUGCAAGGACAGUCGAGACGAGUAAAUGCUACGAGUAAGGUACAUUGUAAACACUCUGAUAGUGUUUUGAAUUCUGGCUUGUUGGCUUGGCAAGGUCGUAGGGGCCCUUUCAAAGUUCAUAAGCAAGGAGACCAAGGAACUGUGGGCAGUACGAAGCCGAGGUAUGAGAAUCGAGGGGAUUCCAACAGAAACAAGUCAAAAUUGGGGCAAGUUAUAGUGGAGACUACUUGCCAACAGAAUGUACCAACGAGUGGAAAGGUUCAAGAUAAGAGGCGACGGAAGUCGAGGCAUAAGUUCCGAAGGAAGGGACAACCUGAUCGCAAGACGAGUCGGGAAGAAGCCGAGGCAACGAGAAAGUUUCACAGUGAAUCAAGUCAGUGUCAUCCAGAAAACGCAACGAGGGCGUUGCGGGAUUGGGUGGGGGAGAAUGUCACGGGCCAAAGUGCAAAGCCCGUGACCAUGCCGCAAGAAGUGCCCCAUGGAGGUCUAUCGAUUAGAUGGGGGACAUUUAGCCCACAAGAACUGGCCCGAUUCAGUGAAAUACUAAAGAAGCCUAUCAGAUUGAAGCCUGGUUGGCCCAAUGAUGAAGAUAUGGCAGCUUAGGCAAUUUUGGUAACUAAUCUUAGAAGAUAGAAUAGAAUCAUAUCUUAUAAGAUUAGAUUAGAUUUGAUAUGGUAAAUCUUGUAAAUCCCUAAAAUCAAGGGAUAUAGUGAAUCUCGUCCGUCGAUGUACAUGUAUCUUGACCGUCGGUUUUGGGGGAGCUCAACUAUAAAUAGAGAGCCUCCCCCUCAUUUGUAAAUCAUCCAUUGUAACUUGAAUUCUUAAGAGUAAUAGAAUUCUUGAGCAUUUACUCAAACACUUUGUGUGCUUUCUUUCUUUAGCUUUCUGUUGUUCUCUUGUGGCUUCUUUUGGCACAAUCGCUUCCGCUAUAUAAAUUAGUGCCUUGGAGGAGUUCUAAAAGAAUCCUCUCUUUU